UACGUAGGGUGCAAGCGUUGUCCGGAAUUAUUGGGCGUAAAGAGCUCGUAGGCGGUCUGUCGCGUCGGCUGUGAAAACUCGGGGCUCAACCCCGAGCCUGCAGUCGAUACGGGCAGACUAGAGUGCUGUAGGGGAGACUGGAAUUCCUGGUGUAGCGGUGAAAUGCGCAGAUAUCAGGAGGAACACCGGUGGCGAAGGCGGUUCUCUGGGCCUUACCUGACGCUGAGGAGCGAAAGCGUGGGGAGCAAACAGG
rnacentral:rRNA from 1 species